UAAGUGAUGUCAUCAGGUCAUGAAAAAAGGAAGACAGGCUCAGCUGCAGUGUCUGAAGGCUCUCUGGAAAGAAGGAAGUUGAAGCCAGACAGGUAAGAUUGGGAAAGGGUUGUACUAUUUUAUCUUUUUCAUUUGCAGUUGCUGGAGUUGGGUUUGAUUUGCAAGGAGUAGAGAUGGUAAAAUGUGUUCAGUGACUGGCAGAAAAAAGGCUCCAACAGUAGAGGUUCAAUACUUACAGUCAGAAUGGAGAGGGCACAAAUGCCUCGGUAUAAAAUAACUUUAUUCAUUUGGGAAAAAAAUGUGGGUUGUAUUCAGUUUCUUUGAGUUUUUACAGCAAAACUUUUUACUUUUCUAGAACUAAAACAUAUUGGUUUAGUUUUGUUCCCUGUCAGCCUUGGAGUAGUUCAAGACCGAAAGACUGAAAGAGCAAAUUGAAAAAAAUGUUUUCCCACCUUCUUCUUACCUUUUGACCUUUUUGGAGAAGAAAAGCAAAGCGUGUCUCGAGUUGAGACACCAAAGAGAUGAGCUGUGUGAGAAAGAGACACCAAGAGAACAGAGGAGGCCACUGGAUUUUCAGUGAAGACAGAAGAAAAGCUGAGGAUCCAGAUACAGGAAGGUGGUGUUAACUAAAGUUACAACUGGUGUGACUGCAAAGAAGGGAGAGAAAAGGAGAAAAUGAGAUGCUCCAUUAGAAAACACCAUUCAGAAGUGACAGAUUAAGCUACUUGAAAUGGAGGC